rnacentral:snRNA from 1 species
UGCCUUUGUUCUGUAAUCAUACCGGAUAAAUCUUUCGCCUUUUACUAAAGAUUUCCGUGGCUGCGGAACAUGAAGGAGGUUAAUCACAAUUUUUUGUUCACCACAACAUCCAGUGGCA